AAAAACCUUUAAAAAAAAUAAAAAGUAAAAAAUAAACCCCUUCCUCAUCACACAAAACGGAGGGAGUACAAAAAUUUCUCUUCCCAUUUUACCACAGCGCCGCCGGCCAGCCACGGACCCACCACCGCCGGUCGCCUGACUCGCCUAGCCGCUUACCCGCUUUCACAGUUUCACCCACUUCUGAAUUUUGUAAGCAUCACCACAAACUCCACGGCGUUUCCGGCUCACCGCCAACUACGAGGAGAAGUUUAUGGCACUCUCCGCUCCGCUCCGCACUCGCCACCCCGCACCCACUCCGUCGCCGCCUACAAGGAGAAAUUCAGAGUAACAGAAUAACCUGCUGCUUGGCAAUGAACCUGGUUGCAUGGGCAAGCUCAAUCUCAGAUCGCUUGGCUCAAUUGGUUGUUGUUCUUAUUCUACUCAACCGUUGGACGUUUCCUCAAUCAACGUGCUAACCAACCUUUGCUCCAGGGGACGCCUAAAAGAAGCAUUUCAGAGCUUCAAAUCUGAAAUAUGGUCAGACCCAAAUCUUUUCUCUCACCUAAUUCAUGGUUGUAUUUCUGCAAAAUCAAUUUCAUGGGGAAAACAGCUUCAUGCUUUGACAAUUACUUCUGGUUGUUAUUUAGACAAGUUUGUGAACAAUCAUUUGUUGAACAUGUAUGGAAAACUUGGCGAAUUGGACACUGUUUUAGUGUUAUAUAAUGUGAUGCCGUGGAAAAAUGUGAUGUCUAGGAACAUUUUGAUUAAUGGCUAUGUGCAAUGUGGUGAUUUUGGGAGUGCUUGGAAGGUGUUCGAUGAAAUGCCUGAACGAAAUGUUGCAACUUGGAAUGCGAUGGUCACGGGGAUGGUACAGUAUGAGAAAAAUGAGGAAGGGUUGGGGUUGUUUUCGAGGAUGCAUUUACUGGGGUUUCGGCCGGAUGAGUUUACGUUGGGUAGUGUGCUUCGAGGGUGUGCUGGUUUGAGAGCUUUGUUUUGUGGGAGGGAGGUUCAUGGUUAUGCCAUCAAAAGUGGUCAUGAUUUGAGUUUGGUUCUUGGCAGUGCAUUGGCUAAUAUGUAUAUGAGGUGCAGAUGUUUGGAGGAUGGAGAGAAAAUCAUUCAAGGGAUGCCCAUCCAUAACGUGAUUGCAUGCAAUACGCUUAUUGCUGGAAGAGCUCAAAACGGGUAUCCUGAGGGUGCUUUAGAGCAGUAUAAUUUGAUGAAGAAGGCGGGAUUUCAACCUGAUAAAAUUACAUUUAUUAGUGUCGUUAGCUCGUGUUCUGAACUAGGGACCCUGGGACAAGGACAGCAAAUACAUGCUGAAGUGAUAAAGCGGGGUGUUACUUCUGUAGUUCCUCUAGUUAGUUCACUGAUAAGCAUGUAUUCUAGAUGCGGAUGCUUGGAAGAAUCUAACAAAGCUUUCAAGAACUGUAAAGAUGCAGAUGUUGUCCUGUGGAGCUCAAUGAUUUCUGCUUAUGGUUUCCAUGGCAAAGGAAGGGAAGCCAUUGAACUCUUCAAUCAAAUGGACCAAGAAGGACUGGAGGCAAACGAGGUUACUUUCUUGAGCUUGCUAUAUGCUUGUAGCCAUUGUGGACUGAAGGAUGAAGGGCUUGAAUAUUUUGACCUAAUGGUUAAAAAAUAUGGAUUGAAGCCCAGGUUAGAGCACUACACGUGUGUUGUUGAUCUACUUGGUCGUUCUGGUUGUCUCGUGCAAGCAGAAGAUAUGAUUAGAUCAAUGCCCACAAAAGCAGAUGCUGUUAUAUGGAAAGCUUUGUUAUCUGCUUGUAAAACCCAUAAAAAUGUAGAUAUGGCUAAGAGGAUUGCUGAAGAGGUCCUCAAGCUUGAUCCUCUGGAUUCCGGUUCCUAUGUUCUGCUUGCAAAUAUCCAAGCCUUUGCAAAGAGGUGGGACGAAGUUUCUACUGUGAGAAAAGCCAUGAGGGAUAGACGAGUAAAGAAAGAGCCAGGUGUUAGUUGGUUUGAGUUCAAGAAUGAGGUUCACCAAUUCACCAUGGGAGCUAAGUACCAUCCUAGGUCCUUGGAGAUUUAUUCAUAUCUGAAAGAACUAAUGUCAGACAUAAAAAAAUGCGGGUAUAUUCCAGAUACUGGAUUUGUUUUGCAAGACAUGGACACACAAGCAAAAGAGCAAAAUUUGGCUCAGCAUAGUGAAAAGCUGGCCAUCGCAUUUGCUCUAAUGAUCACUCCUCCCGCUUUUCCUAUUAGGGUAAUGAAGAAUUUGCGUAUUUGUGAUGAUUGUCAUGUGGCUAUCAAGUACAUAUCUACGGUUAAGGACAGAGAGAUUAUAGUGCGCGAUACAAGUAGAUUUCAUCACUUCAAGAAUGGUGAAUGUUCGUGCAGUGAUUACUGGUAGGAACGUAGGAUAAUUGACAGCAAGAAAUUUUGACUGUCCAUGACAAUUUGUUCAGGCUCUUGUGUGCAGCACCCGUAGACAUUUAGAAAAUCCUAUUUGUUCGAUCGGGGAGACUAUAGAUUGCUGGAAACAGUUGUUUGAAUCAAAAGAAUGGAUGCUUUAGGAGGUUCUUCGUGGUGGAGCACCCACCCUUUCAAUCAAUUUCGGCAACGAGGAACAAAACAUAGAGGAGAGAGAAACAACAAAUGCAACGACUCUUCGUCGGAUUCUGCCGCACAAUCCACCGCCAGCCACCGUUUCCCACUUAAGCAAGCGGUCAUUGCCGAAUCUCUUGCCUUGGCCGGUGACACCAUUGCUCGUCUUCGACACCGUUGGACUUCUAAACCUGACUCCCAACUCUGCCUCUUCUACUUCCGAUGACCAUGAUAAGGGUUGUUCCUCUUGGCUCUUCAGACACAGGUGGCUUUAUCCUCUCUUCAACAAAUGAGCAAAUAAAUCCAACUUAACUGCUGUCAGCUGCGCAUAUCCUGAUUAGCUUUCUUUCUAGCCCGCUGAUCAUGCAAAAACUGUUCUAAACUUAAAUCAUUUUCCUUAAAUAAGAUACUUGAAUGCUUCAGAUUAGACAGACCAAGAACAAUUGAUCUGCUUUUCUUUUGGCUGGAUUAUUUAACUCACCAAAUUGUAAAACUUUACUGUUAUUUUAUUUUCUUCAGACUUCUGGUUUUUAGCAGGUCUGAUUUUUGUCAACUAAAAAUUUGAUUGCGAUUGACAUUUAAUGUAUGUAACAUUUGGGAUGGUAUUGAACACA